rnacentral:rRNA from 1 species
AUUGAACGCUGGCGGCAGGCCUAACACAUGCAAGUCGAGCGGAUGAAGGGAGCUUGCUCCUGGAUUCAGCGGCGGACGGGUGAGUAAUGCCUAGGAAUCUGCCUGGUAGUGGGGGAUAACGUCCGGAAACGGGCGCUAAUACCGCAUACGUCCUGAGGGAGAAAGUGGGGGAUCUUCGGACCUCACGCUAUCAGAUGAGCCUAGGUCGGAUUAGCUAGUUGGUGGGGUAAAGGCCUACCAAGGCGACGAUCCGUAACUGGUCUGAGAGGAUGAUCAGUCACACUGGAACUGAGACACGGUCCAGACUCCUACGGGAGGCAGCAGUGGGGAAUAUUGGACAAUGGGCGAAAGCCUGAUCCAGCCAUGCCGCGUGUGUGAAGUAGGUCUUCGGAUUGUAAAGCACUUUAAGUUGGGAGGAAGGGCAGUAAGUUAACACCUUGCUGUUUUGACGUUACCAACAGAAUAAGCACCGGCUAACUUCGU